GGGAGCUACCGGUACUAGACGUGCGAGCUCUUCAGGAUUUCACCUCCAAGAUUAGACUCUCAGAAGACUUGUCUUCCUUCCAGGAUUCCUCUAAAGCUGAAACUAGUUUGCAUGCCACUUCACACCAAGGAGCUUCAAAUAUAUUCACUUCCUAUACACCUUGUUCAGGUAAGGAUAAAGUACGUGUAGCUGAUGGGUCCAUGGCACCUAUCACGGGACGUGGAUCUGUUAGGAGCUAGAGAUAGGGAGACUGUUGGGGACUGGGACCGUGCAUGAUGGACUCUACUAUCUUGAUGAAGGAAGUGAUGAAGUUGCGUUUGCAUCAUGCUUGUCUCCUAGUCAAGAACUACUACUACACCAUCGCAGGCUUGUGCAUCUCUCUUUUCCUGCAUUGUUUCGUAUUUACCCCUCUCUUUUCAAGUUGUGUCCUAGGGAGCUGCUUGUAUGUGAUGCUUGUGAAUUGGCUAAACAUACAAGAGGUUCAUAUCC